rnacentral:rRNA from 1 species
GAUGAACGCUGGCGGCGUGCCUAAUACGUGCAAGUCGAGCGAACAGACGAGGAGCUUGCUCCUCUGACGUUAGCGGCGGACGGGUGAGUAACACGUGGAUAACCUACCUAUAAGACUGGGAUAACUUCGGGAAACCGGAGCUAAUACCGGAUAAUAUAUUGAACCGCAUGGUUCAAUAGUGAAAGACGGUUUUGCUGUCACUUAUAGAUGGAUCCGCGCCGCAUUAGCUAGUUGGUAAGGUAACGGCUUACCAAGGCAACGAUGCGUAGCCGACCUGAGAGGGUGAUCGGCCACACUGGAACUGAGACACGGUCCAGACUCCUACGGGAGGCAGCAGUAGGGAAUCUUCCGCAAUGGGCGAAAGCCUGACGGAGCAACGCCGCGUGAGUGAUGAAGGUCUUCGGAUCGUAAAACUCUGUUAUUAGGGAAGAACAAAUGUGUAAGUAACUAUGCACGUCUUGACGGUACCUAAUCAGAAAGCCACGGCUAACUACGUGCCAGCAGCCGCCGUAA